AGAACCCCGGCGAGGGGAGUGAAAAAGAACCUGAAACCGUGUACGUACAAGCAGUGGGAGCCCCACCACUAAGCCAGUGGUGAACUCCACAUACGCAUCCUUUGCUGAGGAUACGGUUAACGGAGCGAAAGCGACGUUCAACCGCAAAAGAAGCAGAGGGGGCUUAGUGGUGGGGUGACUGCGUACCUUUUGUAUAAUGGGUCAGCGACUUAUAUUCUGUAGCAAGGUUAACCGAAUAGGGGAGCCGGAGGGAAACCGAGUCUUAACCGGGCGUUAAGUUGCAGGGUAUAGACCCGAAACCCGGUGAUCUAGCCAUGGGCAGGUUGAAGGUUGGGUAACACUAACUGGAGGACCGAACCGACUAAUGUUGAAAAAUUAGCGGAUGACCUGUGGCUGGGGGUGAAAGGCCAAUCAAACCGGGAGAUAGCUGGUUCUCCCCGAAAGCUAUUUAGGUAGCGCCUCGUGAAUUCAUCUCCGGGGGUAGAGCACUGUUUCGGCUAGGGGGCCAUCCCGGCUUACCAACCCGAUGCAAACUGCGAAUACCGGAGAAUGUUAUCACGGGAGACACACGGCGGGUGCUAACGUCCGUCGUGAAGAGGGAAACAACCCAGACCGCCAGCUAAGGUCCCAAAGUCAUGGUUAAGUGGGAAACGAUGUGGGAAGGCCCAGACAGCCAGGAUGUUGGCUUAGAAGCAGCCAUCAUUUAAAGAAAGCGUAAUAGCUCACUGGUCGAGUCGGCCUGCGCGGAAGAUGUAACGGGGCUAAACCAU
rnacentral:rRNA from 1 species